CUGACUCCUAUGUGUAUUGGCAUGUUCAUCAUUAAAUAUUAAUUAUCGUUAUAUAUGUACUAUAGUUGUACACAAUUUAAUAUUAUCCCGAGAAAUAUUUAAAUAAAUGUUUUACUUUCAAUUUAUUAAUAAAUUCUAUUUUAUUCAUAAUUAAUCAAUAAUACUAAAAUUACUUUUUAUUUAUAAUAACCUCUACCCUCUCUAAGUUCAUAAAUUGGAAGUAGUGUCGAUGGACGCUCGGUCCCCUCACGCGGCCUCAAAAAAAAUAUAUUGAUCGUCCAUGCAGUCAAUGUGUGGUCCUAUGAUGGUGAAGUACUUCAUGCCUUGCGGAGGAGACGCGUACGGUAUGUCGAGAGUGACCUGCGGAAAAGACAAGUCUCUGACCAGGCGUAAAAACAAACAACGAAGACGGUUUGCCAACACGCGAACUGGAAACGUACAGCUGACCGUGCGAAAAACAUGGAAAUUCGAGAUUGGUCCCACAGACUUCCAACGAUUGGCCUUGCGAACUAUUGCACAAAGUGUACGUCGUCCAGGGUUUGAUCGUCUAGUAGAAGGCAUUACUCAAACAAUCAUAUUCAAAAGAAAAUAUUCUUAAAAAGAAAAAAAUUACGUAAUGAAUGUUUCGCAAUUAAUGCUUGCAAUCCUAUCCAAUAGGAUUAAACACGUAGGUAUUGUUCUAAUGUUCUAGUAUUACGUCAUCUUCACGGUGAUUCCAAAAAGUGUAUUUCACUCCGUAUGGCAUCGCCUAGGAAUUGUUGAAUCAUAUAUAUGAUAUCGUGCGCAUGUGUGUUAUUCACAUAGAUCUCAUAAAAAAAAAUUGGGUUCUUAACCAAAAUUUUCUUUUGAAAAACUUUCUCCUGGCAAUUACCAAUAAGUGGAAAAAAAUUUAGCCAUAUCAGCCAAGCCGUUCUCAAUUGAUGAAUUACUAUAUACAAUAUAUAUUUACACAUGAGUAUUAUAGUAGGCACUAGAAUAAAUAUAAGAAAUUACAAUUAUAUUCUAUGUUAUAAUUUGUGCAUAGAUAUUAUUUAGUAUAAUUAUCCUUAUUAGGUUCAUAAAGUUUAAUAACUCAGAAACCACACUUCCAAAUGUUCAAAAAAAUAAUCUGCUUGACAGUUCAAAAUAAAUAGGAUAGUUCUCAUUUUAAUACAAGACACUUCUAUACACUUCUCAAAUGAUAUUAGAAAGAAUCUAAAUAUCUAAAAAUAUAGUCUUUGAGUAGGUUUCUAUACAACAAAAUUCUAAACAUCAAAAUUUGCAUUAUUAUAGGGUAAAAAUGGGGGGGAGGGGGUGAAUGCUAGGGAAUGUGAUAUCCUACACAUGUUUGUACUAUACAGUAUUGUAUAAAAUUUAUGAUACAAUCGCUUAAGACUUUUUUUUUUUAAAUGGCGUUUAUUGAAAUGUACAAUCCGUACAUUAUAAACAAUAAGUAAAUAUGAUAUGGUAUAAUAAAAUAAUAUAAAAAUGGCUUUGAGUAACGUGUAGGAAGGCUCGCAGUCGAGUCAUCUUUUACAAUGGAUUAAAAUUUUUAUGAGUAAUAUAAAGACUUAUAACUAUUAACAUAAUUAUUUAGCAAUUUUAUUUAAUAAUCGGUACUAUGAAUAAGAUUGACAAAUAUAUCACUAUGAACACAGAAUACAUUUAUUCUUUGCUAUGACGUCAUUAUGUUCAUUUUUAAUAAUAAACAAACACGAUUACAUUUUUUUUUAGUAUUUUUAAUCAGUAUAUUUAUUUUCUGUAAGUACUCAGGCUAUUCAGAUAAAAUAAUCGAUUUACAACCAUUAAUAUCAAAAGCUUCCGUCAGUCACCACUCAAACUUAUUAAAAAGUUCAAAGAAAAAAAUACUGAUUAAAAAUGUUAUUGUUGAACUAACUUUUUUUUAGAGAUUAUCUACCUAUUUAAUUAACUGAAAAUCUGUAAAAUCUUAUUUAUUUUAUAAUCAAGUGCCGAAACAGUUAAUACUUUUAAUAAUUUAUAGUAAUAAUAGUAAUUACUAAUUAGGUACUAUAUAUUUUAGUAUUCGAAUUAGCCGAAAAUUCUAAAAGAAUUAUAGUACUCGUGAGAUAUAAUAUACAGUUGUGCAUAUCAAAGAGUACAAGUACGGUAAAUUGUCAUUAAUAUGCAUUGAAUCAAUGUACUAAAUACAAAUAAUAUUAUGUUAAUACUUUGCAAUCUAAUCUAUAAUAUUAUUUGUUAUACGAGUUAAUCGUGUAACACAUUUAGUUAUGACGUUGGGUUAUUUAUUUGUGAAGUUUUCGAUUAACUUAUGUGUACGAUGCACCGAUAUGAACAUCGCUACAAAGCUAUACAUUUUAAGUUAUUGAGAUAAUAAAUAUUAUACACUAUACGCGUAUUUACUUUAUAGGUAGAAUAUUUAUUUUCUACUCACAACGUUUUAUUAUAAUAUGCUUUGUCUUUGGAUUAUUCUUUAUAUUAUUCUGAAUAUUGUGAUUUGUAAUGCAAAUUUUUAUAAUUAGACUUCAGUGGCUGCCAACGAGAUAGUACCUGUUACAUACGCGUUUUUGUGUUUAUUAUUUAAGUAUUAUAUUAUGUACCUAUUAAUUUUUGUAUUGUAUUAACUAUUGAUACAAUACGUCAGUAUGACAGGA